rnacentral:rRNA from 1 species
UAGGGAAUCUUCGGCAAUGGACGGAAGUCUGACCGAGCAACGCCGCGUGAGUGAAGAAGGUUUUCGGAUCGUAAAGCUCUGUCGUUAGAGAAGAACGUUGGUAGGAGUGGAAAAUCUACCAAGUGACGGUAACUAACCAGAAAGGGACGGCUAACUACGUGCCAGCAGCCGCGGUAAUACGUAGGUCCCGAGCGUUGUCCGGAUUUAUUGGGCGUAAAGCGAGCGCAGGCGGUUCUUUAAGUCUGAAGUUAAAGGCAGUGGCUUAACCAUUGUACGCUUUGGAAACUGGAGGACUUGAGUGCGGAAAGGGAGAGUGGAAUUCCAUGUGUAGCAGUGAAAUGCGUAGGUAUAUGGAGGAACACCGGUGGCGAAAGCGGCUCUCUGGUCUGUAACUGACGCUGAGGCUCGAAAGCGUGGGGAGCAAACAGG